rnacentral:tRNA from 1 species
CGGUAGCUCAGCGGUAGAGCAACCGACUGUUAAUCGGUAGGUCACAGGUUCGAAUCCUGUCC